rnacentral:rRNA from 1 species
UACGUAGGGUCCGAGCGUUGUCCGGAAUUACUGGGCGUAAAGAGCUCGUAGGUGGUUUGUCGCGUUGUUCGUGAAAACUCACAGCUCAACUGUGGGCGUGCGGGCGAUACGGGCAGACUUGAGUACUGCAGGGGAGACUGGAAUUCCUGGUGUAGCGGUGGAAUGCGCAGAUAUCAGGAGGAACACCGGUGGCGAAGGCGGGUCUCUAGGCAGUAACUGACGCUGAGGAGCGAAAGCGUGGGGAGCGAACAGG